UGUUGGUCGAGGAGCGCGAAGGAAGUGGGCUGAGGGAAGUGGGGGCGGCGGCAGAAGCAGCAUGGGUGUCCUACGGUGAGCGCUUUGAGGGAUUCUGCAGAGCAGUUCUCCCCGGAGGCCUGAUGCAUCCAACCGUACAAGGAAACUUGAAAACUACACCACAACUCUUAGGCUUGC